AGAGUUUGAUCCUGGCUCAGAACGAACGCUGGCGGCGUGCUUAACACAUGCAAGUCGCGUGCGCAGUGGUAGCAAUACCAUGGGCGCACGGCGCACGGGUGCGUAACACGUGGGCAAUCUGCCCUCUGAUGGGGAAUAACCCCGCGAAAGCGGGGCUAAUACCGCAUAAGAUUCCUUUGGCUACGGCUGAGGGAUUGAAA
rnacentral:rRNA from 1 species